CCUGAGAAACCCAAAAGAUCGAAUAGGGAGAUUCAUCGUUAGCAUGUUUCGUAUAUGUAUGAGUUAUGAUGCGAGUUACUUUUGUAUUGCUUGUACAUUCUUGUACAUUUAAUUGCGAGACGUGUCGGCGUGCACUUCUCCCUUAGUAGAACGUCGCAACCCGUUGAGUGUCGGUUUAUGGCCCGAGUGGAAGUCUUCAACGUUUUUAACAUUGAAGUCCCUUGGUGUUCUAACCGACUGCUUGACGGUAUUCGUAUGGUAUUAAGCCGCAUACUUUUAUGCGUCUAUGUCUAUCACAAGUGAGGUUAAUUUCUGGCAGUACGGACUUAGUGCCGUCGCUGGAUUUAACCACCUGUUGGUUGUAUGGUUCUCUAAAACUGGCUAAUACCGGUUGGCGAUGCUACUGCUUUGGGUACUUUCAGGACCCGUCUUGAAACACGGACCAAGGAGUCUAACAUGUGCGCGAGUCAUUGGGAUUAUUUAAAUUAAACCUAAAGGCGCAAUGAAAGUAAAGGUUGUCCUUGCGUCAACCGAGGGAGGAUGAGUUGUGUCAAGAUACAGNUUCGCACUCCCGGGGCGUGUCAUUCUCAUU
rnacentral:rRNA from 1 species